UAUCUGUAAUGUUGCUAAUAGUGAAAGUAAAAUGUUGUUUGGUGGCGGACUGAAGAUGGGGGACUGAACGUAGUUGUGUAGAGCACCUCAAGAUAAAAACGUAAUAUUCAAUAUCGGUAAAUUAGACUAAAUAUUAGCACUACACAAUAUGGUGGGUGGUAUCCUUCAAUCUGGAUAACAGCACAAAACAAAUCUUAAGACUAGAGAAAUUUAUCGACAAAUAUUACGGAAACAAGCAACACCCAAACGUGACGGUGAGUAAGACAGGGGAACCGAUUCCAAAACGAAAAAGUGACUCUUCCACAGACACAGACGAUUUAAUAUUUUCACCACCGGGAAUGGUAAAGGUCGAAACCAAUCGGUUAAAAUCAGUAAAUGACAAACUGGGUAUACUUGAAUUAGUCAGUAAGGAUAUAAAAGAGUUGAAGGCAAGCCUCGAGAUGAGUGAUGAAAAAGCUGCGACAUUGGAGAAGGAAACAAACAGGCUAAAAGGGACAGUCAAUAAGAUUGAAACAGAAGUUUAUGAACUUAAAAAGAAGAACACUGUUCUGAGAGAAGCCUUACUUGACAUACAGACUAGAUCUAUGAGAGAGAAUCUGGUACUUAUAGGUAUCCAAGAGAAAGAAGGAGAAGCUCCUGAAUCUGAAGUUACAACGCUUCAGAUUCCACUCGAAGCUAUCGACAAAAUCCAACUCGAACGUGUACACCGCUUCGGACAGAGAGACCAAAUGUAUGAACGCCCAAUCGUUGCCAAAUUCGCUCCUUUUAAAGAUAAAAUAAUGGUUAAAAGCCUGGGUAAAAGACUUGCUGGGACCCAAAUUGUUAUGAAUGACCAGUUCCCAAAUGAGAUUGCAGAACGGCGUAAAGUUCUGUAUCCAUUUUCAAGGAAAAUAGAUUAAAAGGAAAACGAGUAGCUCUUGUCGUCGAUAAGCUAUAUAUUGAUAGCCAGUUGUUCAGAGACACAAAGACUACUCCAUGGCUAUUUUAAAAAUUACAAAGUUCUUAUAGACGAGGAAUAUAAUGAAACACAAUUCUAGCCCGGUUAUGGACUGUAAUAAUACAACAAAAAAUAUAGCUUUUCUAUAUAUCUUCAAAUAUAACUAAUUGGAUCACAAAAGCACUAAUUCAACAUGGUGAAGAUAAAAACUCAGUAAACAGAAGGCACAGUAUGUGUGGUGUGUGUUUUUUGAUUUUUGGGAAAGUGUGGCGUUUAAUGAGAAAGGAAAUGGUUGCAUAUCCCCAGAACCAAUGUAUUGCUGUGAGCGGGGGUGUGAGAGAGCUUUCAAUGUUGUUCAGAUGAUGGAUAUACUUUUUUAUAAUGAAUUGUACAUCUUAUUUAUUUUUUGUCCUAUCAUUGUGGAACAGCGUUUUAAAAUAAAUUAUACAUUUGAUUUAUUUAUUGUUCUAUCAUUGGGAACUACAUUUGAAAAAUGAAUUAUACAUCUCAUUUAUUUAUUUAUGAUCCUAUAUGGAUGGAAUGGUCCACAACCCUAUACCCUAGACACCCACCUGAAUGACCCAGAUACUAAGGAGAAGUCCCUAACUGUUUUAUGGGCCGCUGUAAGCAGUCUGUAUGCAGCCAAAAUGAGGUCAGAGACCUAGAGCAGCACUGCCUCCUCAAGAUUCUGAGCCUGCUUGGCAGGGUUGGUCCUGCCAAGCCAAAGCCCCCUAAAGGGAGAGCAUAAUAUGCAAGUAAAUUCUCAAAGAUGCUAAUGAGAACCUUGACGACCUUGUACCUAGCCGGUGUGUAUUCCGGUGGGUGCCCCCACCCAGGCAGUGGCAGUGCUGGCAACACUAGCAGCAGUAACCCAUGGGGAGGGGGUCACACUCGGACAUUCAGAGAGGGGGUAUAUUAUUGUGGCCCUGGUGGCACAAAAUUAAAAGUCUGACUGCAUGGUGUUUCAGGGAAAGGAGUACAUUUGACCUCCUGUAACGGUUGUCGUCUUCCUCUUCUGAGGAGGAGUAGGAAAUAUCGGACCAAUACGCAGCGUGGUAAGUGUUCGUCAUAUUUAUUACACUCAAUACAGAAAACAAACGAACAAGCGAAUAAAGAAAAAACGAAACAGUCCCGUAUGGUGAAAAACUCUGAAACGGAAAAUAACCCCCCACAAACAAGAGUGGGAAAACAGGCUACCUAAGUAUGGUUCUCAAUCAGAGACAACGAUUGACAGCUGCCUCUGAUUGGGAACCAUACCAGGCCAAACAUAUAGAAAUAUAAACACAAGAACAAAACAUAGAAUGCCCACCACAACUCUGGGUGGGCAUCUGUCCGCGGCUCUGGCGGCUCUGACCCCACUCCACGGUCCACUUAGGUGGCGCCUUUGGAGUGUCGACCCUCGCCGCCGACCUCGGACUGGGGACCCUUUCAGCGGGCCCCGAAUAGACGGGAGACUCCGUCAGCGCCGGACAGGCGGGCGACUUUGGCAGCGCCGGAGUGAAGGGCGACUCUGGCAGCUCCUGCCUGAAGGGUGACACUGGCAACUCCUGCCUGACGGACGGCUCUGGCAGCUCCUGACAGACGGGCGCCUCUGGCAGCUCCUGACAGACGGGCGGCUCUGGCAGCUCCUGACUGCCGACACAUAUUUUUCUUUAAACUGCAUUGCUGGUUAAAGGCCUGGCUUAUGUGGAUGCAACGAAACCCCAGUGUUGCUUAGUAACCUGAUGCCACUGACAGAGUACACUGUGACCAUCUUGGCUUUGUAUGAUGGGGGUCGCCAAGCCAAGCUGGCUGAUUUACCACCAAGACAGUCCCAGAGCCUCUGAACCUAAAGACCAGUGAAGUCUCCACAGAGAGCUUCAGGGUCACCUGGGAUCACUCAGCCCAAGACGUGGUCCUCUACAGACUCACCUGGACCCCAACCAGAGGAGGAGACACUAAAGAGAUGCUGGUGAAUGGUAACAUGAACACCUACCUUCUAACUGGACUGAUUCCCAACACUGAAUACAAGGUGGCCGUGUCCUCCAUCUUCAGAGACAAUUUCAAAAGGGACGCCGUGAACAUCAACGAGUCAACAGGGAAGACCAGAGACAGCCCCUCUCCUCUUGACUCAGGUCAGGGUUCGAGUGAAUGUUCUAGUGAAGGUUCUAGUCAGGAGGGAUCUCCAACUGGCAGCCAUGAAGAUACUGAUGAGAACCAAGAACUGUUACCUGGUAAAGAUUCUUGGUGACGGGACACCUACAGGACCAUCGGAUUCAGCCCCCGAGUUGUACGGUCCAUGGUGGCAGGCAUUGUCCCCUCUUGUGGCACAAGCCAUUUGGGACUGUCUGGUUGGUGAAUACAUGCCUGUCCCCAAGGAGGAAGACUGGAGGGCCAUCGCUGCCAGGUUGCUGGAGAGGUGGAAUUUCCCCAACUGUCUUGGCUACAUGACCGAAAACAUGUAGUAAUCCAGGCUCCACUGGCCUUCCCUUUGAGACCCAACCUCAUGAGGCCCUGCACUGGACUCCAGCUGCCAUUGCCAAAGCCUGUAAGGAUCUUUAACAAAUGACUGUCCAGGGCAAGGUUAGUUGUUGAAUGUGCCUUUGGGAUUCUGGUAGCUGGUGGAGAAUGUAUCGGAGUGCUUGGUCUCAGCCCCUCAAAUGUCGAUGCCUGGGUGAAGGCCACGUGUGUUCUCCACAACUACCUGCAGAGGUCAUUCCAGGAGCCACUCCGGGUGGAGAUGGGCACGCCAAAUGGUCCAGGGCAGGUGCCAACAACGCCCCCAGACAGGCACUCCAGGUGAGGGAGAAGCUGACCACCUCCUUCUCAUCGCCAGCAGGUGAAGUCCCAUGGCAGCAUAUCGUGGAGUGAAACAGCUCUUUUAAGCGCCCCCUAAAAUGUUUAUUUAUUCAUUUAACAUUUAACAAAGGUUAUUUUAAGAACCAUCCACAGUUGU